GUGCUCGAUUCGACAGCACACAUACUAAAAUUGGAACGAUACAGAGAAGAUUAGCAUGACCCCUGUGCAAGGAUGGCAUGCAAAUUCAUGGAGUGUUCCAUAGUUUU